rnacentral:rRNA from 1 species
AGGACGAACGCUGGCGGCGUGCUUAACACAUGCAAGUCGAGCGGAAAGGGCCCUUCGGGGUACUCGGAGCGGCGAACGGGUGAGUAACACGUGAGUAACCUGCCCCUAGCUCUGGGAUAGCUCCGGGAAACCGGGAUUAAUACCAGAUACGACCACUUUAGACAUCUGUCGUGGUGGAAAGGAUUCCGGCUAGGGAUGGGCUCGCGGCCUAUCAGCUUGUUGGUGGGGUAACGGCCUACCAAGGCGACGACGGGUA